rnacentral:rRNA from 1 species
GACGAACGCUGGCGGCGUGCCUAAUACAUGCAAGUAGAACGCUGAAGGAGGAGCUUGCUUCUCCGGAUGAGUUGCGAACGGGUGAGUAACGCGUAGGUAACCUGCCUGGUAGCGGGGGAUAACUAUUGGAAACGAUAGCUAAUACCGCAUAAGAGUAGAUGUUGCAUGACAUUUGCUUAAAAGGUGCAAUUGCAUCACUACCAGAUGGACCUGCGUUGUAUUAGCUAGUUGGUGGGGUAACGGCUCACCAAGGCGACGAUACAUAGCCGACCUGAGAGGGUGAUCGGCCACACUGGGACUGAGACACGGCCCAGACUCCUACGGGAGGCAGCAGUAGGGAAUCUUCGGCAAUGGACGGAAGUCUGACCGAGCAACGCCGCGUGAGUGAAGAAGGUUUUCGGAUCGUAAAGCUCUGUUGUAAGAGAAGAACGAGCGUGAGAGUGGAAAGUUCACACUGUGACGGUAUCUUACCAGAAAGGGACGGCUAACUACGUGCCAGCAGCCGCGGUAAUACGUAGGUCCCGAGCGUUGUCCGGAUUUAUUGGGCGUAAAGCGAGCGCAGGCGGUUAGAUAAGUCUGAAGUUAAAGGCUGUGGCUUAACCAUAGUACGCUUUGGAAACUGUUUAACUUGAGUGCAAGAGGGGAGAGUGGAAUUCCAUGUGUAGCGGUGAAAUGCGUAGAUAUAUGGAGGAACACCGGUGGCGAAAGCGGCUCUCUGGCUUGUAACUGACGCUGAGGCUCGAAAGCGUGGGGAGCAAACAGG